AUUGAACGCUAGCGGGAUGCCUUACACAUGCCAGUCGAACGGAGUGGCGAACGGGUGGGUAAUGUAUCGGAACGUGCCCAGUAGCGGGGGAUAACUACGCGAAAGCGUAGCUAAUACCGCAUACUCUUGGAGCGGACGAUAUCGGAUUAGCUAGUUGGUGGGGUAACGGCUCACCAAGGCGAAGAUUCGUAGCUGGUUUGAGAGGACGACCAGCCACACUGGGACUGAGACACGGCCCAGACUCCUACGUGAGGCAGCAGUUGUGAAUUUUGGACAAGGGGGGAAACCCUGAUCAAGCCAGCCCGCGUGUGCGAUGAAGGCCUUCGGUUUGUAAAGCACUUUUGGCAGGAAAGCGGUACCUACAGAAUAAGCACCGGCUAACUACGUGCCAGCAGCCGCGGUAAUAC
rnacentral:rRNA from 1 species